GAGACAGUAGAGGAUGUGGUUGCAAAGAAGCUGAUAGUGCCUUGUAGUACCAGAUGGAAUUCUUUUUAUGAUGCUCUAGCUAGGAUUUGCGAGAUUUCCAUAGUGGACCUCAACACCAUCUCAUCCAAGUUUGGCUCGAAAGCAAUCACAGAAAAAGAGCAUCAGUUCCUGAAGGAAUAUUGCAUUGCGAUGAAGCCACUGACAGUUGCCCUAGAUAUCCUACAGGGAUAUGCUACCACGGCACACUGCUACCUACCCUGGAAACCUUGAUGAUGAAAACCCUUGAGCUGAAGAGAGCACUUCAAAUACUUGUGGACCUUCCAGAGGCAAUUGUGGAGGCAAUUAAAGCAAGAUUUACAGAGGUGCUGGACAGCGACAGUGCUCUCCUGGCUGCUGUGACUCUGCCCAGGUUCAAGUUACGUUGGCUGCGAACCCAAGAAAGAAAGGACAAGGCCAAAGCAGAACUGCUGGCGGUAUGUCGUGCAAGUGUAAGAAAUGAAGACCAGCAAAAAGGUACAAGCACCACCACACCCACAUGUACCAACUCAACUGUUGAGGAUGCAUUCUUCUCCUUUGAUGAUGAGGACGACAUAUCUGCUACUGCGGAAAGUCAAGUCGCAGAUUAUUUGAAAUGAGGAGCCCAAGGGAUGGACUCACUUCAUGGAUUUCCUCUUAUAAAGAGAAUUUCCCUGAAGCAUAAUGCUGCCACUCCAUCUAGUGCUCCAGUGGAGAGACUGUUUAGCCUGGGGAAGCUGGUCUUCACACCGAAGAGGAACUUCUCCUACGAUACAACCACUGGUUUACAGGCUAAAAUUUUGACAUGACUGGGUUGGGUGGGUGGAUGGAUGGAGAGAAAAAUGCAUGCAUGUUUCUAGAGUUGGAUUUAACAAACCCAUGAACAUUUUCAUUUCAAUUUAAAAUGCACUCCUGUUAAGCUAUUUACUUUCUUUAAGAAACAAAAUUGGAGCACUUUAUGUCCGUCUGUUUACUAUGGUUGUGUACUAGUUCUGUUAAGUUAGCGUUGCAGUAAGUGAAAAUUUGUUCAGGUUACUGUCUUUGCUUUGGUUAGACAACUGGGAUGGCUGGGAUAAAUUAUUGCACAGAUGCAAAAUGCAUGUUUUGGACUUUUAGUUGGAUUUAAGAAAUCCAUAUACAUUUUAGAUCAGUUUAAACAAGCCUCUGUUUAAAUUGUGUAUAUAUUUUUUUAAAACACAUUUUGAGAACUUUUGGUCCAUCCGUUGUUGCUUACAUUGAGUUCCAAUAAAUGCAAAGCUCUAUGCA
rnacentral:lncRNA from 1 species